AGUGAACGCUGGCGGUAGGCCUAACACAUGCAAGUCGAACGGCAGCACAGUAAGAGCUUGCUCUUACGGGUGGCGAGUGGCGGACGGGUGAGGAAUACAUCGGAAUCUACUUUUUCGUGGGGGAUAACGUAGGGAAACUUACGCUAAUACCGCAUACGACCUACGGGUGAAAGCAGGGGAUCUUCGGACCUUGCGCGAUUGAAUGAGCCGAUGUCGGAUUAGCUAGUUGGCGGGGUAAAGGCCCACCAAGGCGACGAUCCGUAGCUGGUCUGAGAGGAUGAUCAGCCACACUGGAACUGAGACACGGUCCAGACUCCCACGGGAGGCAGCAGUGGGGAAUUUUGGACAAUGGGCGCAAGCCUGGUCCAGCCAUACCGCGUGGGUGAAGAAGGCCUUCGGGUUGUAAAGCCCUUUUGUUGGGAAAGAAAAGCAGCAGGUUAAUACCCCGCUGUUCUGACGGUACCCAAAGAAUAAGCACCGGCUAACUUCGUG
rnacentral:rRNA from 1 species